CCCAGUCCCAGUCCCUGAUCAGGGAAAGCAGGGAGAAUGGAUAAGCACACCUGGACCUCUGUAAUGAUUCCUAAGUACCUUUCCUGCCAUCCUGUCAGAGGGAACAUCCCAAGAUACAGCUUAGGGAGGUCUCUCAUCAGAACCUUCAGUGGCUCCCACUGCUGGGAGACAAAUUGAACUCUGGGUGUCAACCUUCCUAUUCUACCCCAUGUCCUAUAUCCCCCUCCCCAAAAGUCCUCAGCACAGCCCUCUGGCCAUGUGCUUUUCCCAACCACAAAGCUCCUUAAUCUGUUUUCCUAAUAAAAGUGCAAUGGACCCUGGCUCCCCACUGUUAGCAGUGCCAAGAAUUGGCAGAAUGUUCAAAAUUACUUCUCUUUUAAGGGUUCAGACGUUGUGGAUCACCACCACAGGCCCCUCUAUGACCGACCACCCUGUCACAUCCCAGAGAGGGUUGUAGAGAUUAAGGGUCAAGACGGAUGAAAAGAGUUGAGCACAGAGACUGUAUGGUGCCCAGUGCAUGUGGACUAGAAUACCAGUUUAUAAUCAUCUUCCUUUUCUCCAACC